AUUGAACGCUGGCGGCAGGCCUAACACAUGCAAGUCGAGCGGGGACUUCGGUCCUAGCGGCGAACGGGUGAGUAAUGCUUGGGAAUCUGCCCAGUAGUGGGGGAUAACGUCCCGAAAGGGACGCUAAUACCGCAUACGUCCUACGGGAGAAAGAGGGGGAUCUUCGGACCUCUCGCUAUUGGAUGAGCCCAAGUCGGAUUAGCUAGUUGGUAGGGUAAUGGCCUACCAAGGCGACGAUCCGUAGCUGGUCUGAGAGGAUGAUCAGCCACACUGGAACUGAGACACGGUCCAGACUCCUACGGGAGGCAGCAGUGGGGAAUAUUGGACAAUGGGCGAAAGCCUGAUCCAGCCAUGCCGCGUGUGUGAAGAAGGCCUUCGGGUUGUAAAGCACUUUAAGCGGGGAGGAAGGUUCGCGGCCUAAUACGUCGCGGAAUUGACGUUACCCGCAGAAUAAGCACCGGCCAACUCUGUG
rnacentral:rRNA from 1 species